rnacentral:lncRNA from 10 species
GCCCCUCACUUGUGGUGCACAUGGGGCAUGUACGGGCAACACUCAAUCCUGCCCAGGAAGCUUCCUUGAGCCUUGAGGGCUGCCUCACAAUGGAUCCUAGGCUUCUUUUUUCCCUUGCUGCUUGACUGCCUCACAAUGGAUCCUAGGCUUCUUUUGUCCCUUGCUGCCUGUCUGCUUCCAGAUACAGCCCUCUAGGUCAUCCAGAGGUGCCAGCCAGCCCUCACCAGUGGUCAGCUUUUCCUCAGUGGAGUGGUCAGCAGUCCAACUACCAGGGCCAGAGCCCCAUCAAAGAAUCUUCAGUGCCAGCCAGAAAGAAUGAUGAACUCCUCGUGUAAAGGGAGUUUGGGGCAACCAGUCAAACCAUGGCCUCAUGGGAAGCAGCUGACUAGGCAAUGAGAGAGGAAUACAAAAGACAAGGCACUGCGAAGCCAAGUCUGGUUGGGGAGAAGAAACCAAUAUGCCUGAAACAGGGAACCAGAAAGGACUCAGACAAAACUGCUGACAAGUAUGGGGUUUCUUGGGGUAGGUGGUGAAAAUAUUCCAAAAUAAGAUUAUAGCGAUGUUUUAAUAAUCCCCUGGAUAUAAUAAAAAAACAUCGAAUUGUACACUUCAAA